AGAGUUUGAUCCUGGCUCAGGAUGAACGCUAGCGGCAGGCCUAAUACAUGCAAGCUGAACGGUAAAUAUUGUAGCAAUACAAUAUGAGAGUAGCGUAAGGGUGCGUAACACGUAUGCAAUCUGCCCUGUACAGGAGGAUAGCUCGGCGAAAGCCGGAUUAAUACUUCGUAAGAUAUUGGUGGGGCAUCCCACAGAUAUUAAAGUCGCAAGAUGGUACAGGAUGAGCAUGCGUCUGAUUAGCUAGUUGGUGGUGUAACGGACCACCAAGGCGAUGAUCAGUAGGGGAACUGAGAGGUUGAUCCCCCACACUGGCACUGAGAUACGGGCCAGACUCCUACGGGAGGCAGCAGUAGGGAAUAUUGGUCAAUGGGUGAGAGCCUGAACCAGCCAUGCCGCGUGCAGGAAGAAGGCCUUCUGGGUUGUAAACUGCUUUUGCCGGGGGAUAAAAUUCCCAUGCGUGGGACAUUGAAGGUACCCGGUGAAUAAGCCACGGCUAACUACGUGCCAGCAGCCGCGGUAAUACGUAGGUGGCAAGCGUUGUCCGGAUUUAUUGGGUUUAAAGGGUGCGUAGGCGGCCUAUUAAGUCAGUGCUGAAAUAUCCCGGCUUAACCGGGAGGGUGGCAUUGAUACUGAUGGGCUUGAGUAGAGUCGAGGUAGGCGGAAUUGACGGUGUAGCGGUGAAAUGCUUAGAUAUCGUCAAGAACACCGAUAGUGUAGACAGCUUACUAGACUCAAACUGACGCUGAGGCACGAAAGUGUGGGGAUCAAACAGGAUUAGAUACCCUGGUAGUCCACACUGUAAACGUUGAUUACUCGCUGUGUGCGAUAUACAGUACGCGGCUUAGCGAAAGCGAUAAGUAAUCCACCUGGGGAGUACGCCGGCAACGGUGAAACUCAAAGGAAUUGACGG
rnacentral:rRNA from 1 species